CACGGGGGGGAGCAAGCGUUGUUCGGAUUUACUGGGCGUAAAGCGUGCGUAGGUGGUUCGUUAAGUCUGAUGUGAAAGCCCUGGGCUCAACCUGGGAAUGGCAUUGGAAACUGGCGACCUAGAGUGCGGUAGAGGGCAGUGGAAUUCCCGGUGUAGCAGUGAAAUGCGUAGAGAUCGGGAGGAACAUCUGUGGCGAAGGCGACUGCCUGGACCAGCACUGACACUGAGGCACGAAAGCGUGGGGAGCAAACAGG
rnacentral:rRNA from 1 species